AUGGUGCUAGCGUAGUGGUUAACGCAUCUGGCUACUUCGCAAGAAGGAGAAUUCAAGUAAUUGAAUCUCACAGCUCCAGGAGACAACGGUUCGAAUCCGUUGCACCGCG
rnacentral:tRNA from 1 species